GCGGAAGACUAACUGUUGGUGUGGUGAGAAGUAAGUGACAAUAGAAAUUUGUUCGGUUGAUAGGUGUUUUCUUUGGGUGGGCCAUUUCCAACCGACAGUAGAGCGGUAGUUAAAUUUGAUGUUACUUGUUUUGUGACUGUGACUGCGGGGCUCGAGUUAGAAACUGCAAAGUAAAUUCAGACAUUUAGUACAAUAGCUUUGAGAACAAAAGAAAAUUUAUAUUAGGUCUUAUACGAAAAGCGUACUAGUUCAAAUUUUUGGACAGUUGCACCCAAAAAUUACCUUUGAAUUGAAUUUAUUUCGGGAAAUUACAUAUCUUAAAAUGACCCAAGCAGCUGCUGCGAAGUACAGUUGGGCCCUUUUGUCGUGGGACGAUCGAAUUUUUCAACCUCCUAAUCAGAGCUGCUAAAUGUCACUAUCAACUAGCAACUUUGAACGACGAAGAUUUAAAAGCUUAUGUCACUGGACCAGAGAUGCCAGGUAAAAAUUUCAAAUAUCUGCAGACAGGGUCUGUAAAUCUGAGAAAAAAUCUGCAGUCAGCAAGUGUGUCUGAUGAAGCUUCUGCCGUAGUAUAAAAGCAGAUUUGCUCAGUUCAAUCGGCGUCAUUGCAUUCCCACUUGUGGUUUUAACUAGAGCUCUUGAUAUUGACAGCAACAUCGAAUUCAUUCAACAUGGCUAUUAAAAUAUUCUCUUUAUUUGUAAUUGCACUGUUAACGGUGUGUGUUCUAUCCGCUCCUGCUCCGAAGCCGGAUCCGAAAUCGCAACUAUAUGCCGCAGCACCACUCGCAUACUCCGCAUAUUCACCAUAUGCAUAUUCGAGUUAUGUGUCACCCUACGCUGGCUACGUGUCACCCUAUUCAGCCCUUACAUAUCCUGGCCUCGCUUACAGUUACGCAUACCCGUAGGUGAUAUAACUACAAACGAUCAGUUCAAUCAGUAAUUAAUAAAUGUACAUAGUUUCCA